AGCAGCCGCGGUAAUUCCAGCUCCAAUAGCGUAUAUUAAAGUUGCUGCAGUUAAAAAGCUCGUAGUUGAAUUUCGGGACUAAUAUGUCGGUCGUGCCUCGGUACGUACUGGUAUUUUUGGUUUCUCCCUUCUGACGAACCUUGAUGUCAUUAAUUUGGUGUCUUGGGAAAUCAGGACUGUUACUUUGAAAAAAUUAGAGUGUUUAAAGCAGGCUCACGCUUGAAUACAUUAGCAUGGAAUAAUGAAAUAGGACGUUUGAUUCUAUUUUGUUGGUUUCUAGGAUCGACGUAAUGAUUAAUAGGGAUAGUUGGGGGCAUUAGUAUUCAAUUGUCAGAGGUGAAAUUCUUGGAUUUAUUGAAGACUAACUACUGCGAAAGCAUUUGCCAAGGAUGUUUUCAUUAAUCAAGAACGAAAGUUAGGGGAUCGAAGACGAUCAGAUACCGUCGUAGUCUUAACCAUAAACUAUGCCGACUAGGGAUCGGAUGAUGUUAAUUUUUUAAUGACUCAUUCGGCGCCUUACG
rnacentral:rRNA from 2 species